GUCAGCAGACCACCUUGGAGGGGAUGCUUGGAGCUGCCUAACGUGCGAUUCAAAGAUGAAUUCCAUGUGUUUGGAGAAGAAGCCCUAGCCUCAACACAAAGGUUGGCCACAUUCCAGCCAAGGUAGCACGGAGUGAAGGCCCAUGGAGGGAGAGCUGGGCUUUUCUGAACUACUUCAGUACACCUUGCUGUGCCUCGGCCUGCCGUGUUUCAUCCCCAUGGCUGUCCUCAGUGAUGUGCAUGGUCACUGCUCCCUUCACCACUGAGAAGACGGGCACAGGACGGUCAGGGGACGUGUCCAAGGUCCCACAGCAGGAAGGGCUGGAGCCAGAAUGUGGUCUGAGAGGCUGGAUAUACAAAGAGACAAUGGUGUGACCAUCUGUACAAAUGGAACUAUGGCCCACAACCUGCAGCAGCCAGCCCAGGAAGCCAACCUGUCACCUGCAGUAGCCAGGAUGGAUGCUGGCCUGCCCUCAGGUGCCCUUGUUGGAGAACAUGGGAGGCCAAAAUCCAAACGUGGCAAGAGAUAACAAAUGACUUGUCUGGUGGCUGAACCCUGAGCUGGGAGCACUGCCUGGAGAAAACUCUGAUAGUUAAGUCUAGUUUUAUGUGGCUCCAAACGCCUCCACCAUGAGCUCAAGGCAGUGACUGACUGAAAAACCCUCUCUAUUACAGACCACAACAUUGAACCCAACAUCCCCCUAAGUAGGUUGUACUCACAUCAUUGGUCUUAUGGGGAAAUUUUAAGAACUCCCACUUGUAAGGUUUUAUAGCCCUCUAUGGAAUAUUGAAGAAAGAGUAAAAUGCAUCCAAAAAAAAAAACAAAAAACACUAAACUGGAUAAAUUCUAAGGCCUCUUCAGGUCUUAAGAUGGCCAUUUUCUAGGUCCUCUUGCUGCAGCAGUGAAAUCCACAAACACGGGCAAGUCAGUCAGUUACGUGCCUUUCAGAGAAAACUUCUGACUUAGGAACUCCAGCUAUUUGGCCCAACCCAUAUUAGAUUGUGUUAUAAAGACAUGGUAAAUUACAUCACGAAGGGAAGAGCAGAGGAAACAUAAUAUUCCUUCAAGACCCAUCAGCUCAGAUGUUAGCAGAACACCCCUAAGGAGGAAAACAAGAAAUUUUGGGUUUGAACUUGGUGCUUCCCAGCAGCCCUGGGAGUGGGGUCAGAAGCCCUGCUGGGGGGCGAAGAACUCUGAGGAUCAAAGAUGUUGAGCAUCACCUUAGAGGCCAAAGAUCAGAACAGCGGAGGUGGCCUUUGAAGCCCAACCUGUCUUUCACCAGAGAGUGAGAACGGCCUCUAUUUCCAGGAAGCUCACUGCAGCAAUAAUCACGAUGCUCUGAGCCUGACAAGCAAAAGAAAACUUCUUUAGGAGGAUAAAAGGGAGAUGAAGAAACAGAAAACACAUCAGCUCUCCAUCCAGAUUACAGAAAGCAGAAAACAUCCUGAAGUGAAUAACAUAGGAAUCACUCUUUUU
rnacentral:lncRNA from 1 species